rnacentral:lncRNA from 1 species
CCACCUCUUCUAUGCUUUUUCCUUCUUCUUCAUUCAAAAACCCCUCUACGGCCCAUAACUCAACAAGUGCAUUUACAUAAAUCCGUUCAUCCUCUGCGAAAAUUGCAAAAUACAGAAAACACGGUUUUAGGUGAGAAGGCAAGUGAUGGUAACUCAAAGCCAACACUCUCAUGCAUUUUGCUUCAAGAUCUCUGCUUACCACCGAACUUACAUUCUCCGCAACAUUUUGCCACUCAUCCAAUGUUUUACUGAUUUUGGAGAGAAGUCCAGCAAUCAAAGUAAUUUCUAGAGGUAACCCUCCACAUUUUAAUGCAAUUUGUUUCCCAAUAUUUUCAAAUUCAGGAGAAUAAGAACCUUCUUUUUCAAAGAUCUUUUUGUGUAGUAAAUUCCAACUUUCGUCAAAAUUCAUGAGGCGCAUNNNNNNNNNNNNNNNNNNNNNNNNNNNNNNNNNNNNNNNNNNNNNNNNNNNNNNNNNNNNNNNNNNNNNNNNNNNNNNNNNNNNNNNNNNNNNNNNNNNNNNNNNNNNNNNNNNNNNNNNNNNNNNNNNNNNNNNNNNNNNNNNNNNNNNNNNNNNNNNNNNNNNNNNNNNNNNNNNNNNNNNNNNNNNNNNNNNNNNNNNNNNNNNNNNNNNNNNNNNNNNNNNNNNNNNNNNNNNNNNNNNNNNNNNNNNNNNNNNNNNNNNNNNNNNNNNNNNNNNNNNNNNNNNNNNNNNNNNNNNNNNNNNNNNNNNNNNNNNNNNNNNNNCAUGUUCAGGUAAACUGACAAGUGAGCUAGUUUGUGGUUUUAGAUCUUUCAUGCUGUCCGAUGCUGCCAUCCACUGUUUCACGGUGGAAUCAAUGUAUUCUAGUGCUUGUUCCAAGACGAAAAAAAUCUCCCACAUAGCCCUGCUUCUUUCCUCCAAAUUCUGUGCUAAAAAAACAUUUCUUGAUUCCGAGUCAACCAUAUCUUCUGUUGUGUAUGCUACCUCUGCGAUUUCAACUUCCAAGAUUGUUAACCCCUCAUGAUCGCCCAUUAUAUUGCAGGAUUUCUCCAGAAUAGCUCUCAAAGAUUUGAGCUUUUCAUAAAACGGUUGCAAAUCACAUCCAGUAAGUUCCAUUGAUUGAUGUAUGGUUCUCAUAAGGGAAGUAACAGCAGCAUAAGCCAUAUAUCCAAAAAAUAGAAAUAUCUCUCAGUAUGAAAAUGGACAAAUUGCCACAAGUUAUGUAAUUUUUCAGUUUUUAAGAAAACAGAAAAUGCAAAGUUCUUUCUUUUACUAGCUAUUUCCAUCACAUUUCCAGCUAGGUCCACCAACCUUAUCAUCAUGUAGACAAAAGCAGAGACCAAAGUUAAAAAAAAGUAGAAAAAUUUGUGAUCAUUCAUUAUUAGACCGUACACAUAUCUAUUCAUGAAUAUAAGUAUGCUUCUUACAUACAAGAGAUUGAUGAUUUUAAUUACAUUGAAAGCAACUUAGUAGAAUUUUCCAAAUCAAAGAGAGAAAUAUUAAGAUCCAAGUAGGAAUUUCUCUAUUCCUAGUUCGAUUCAAUUAACCAAGCAUAAAUAUCUCUUAAUAUACAUGAGAAGUUUAGACUCUAAAAGUCAAAUCAACAAAAUAUUUAUGGGCUAACACAUGAAAAACUAUUGAGAAAAUCGCCUAAUUUCUGUAAAUUGGCCCUUAAAUCUCCAAAAUGAACUCUAAAAAUUGUCAGACUGUACGUAUUGCUCCCCAACUCCCUACUGAGGGUUCUGUAAAGAUUUCGAUUAGAAUUCGUCCGUAAGUCAUAUCACCAAUAUAUUAAUGACUAACACACACGAAAAACUGAGAAAAUUGUCUAAUUUCUUGAAAUUGGCCCCUAAAUGCCUAAAAUGGACUCUAAAAGUUGUGAGACUGUACGUACUGCUCCCCCGACUCCCUACAGAGGGUUUCGUAAAUGUGUAGCAAAGAAAUCGUCUGGAAGUCAUAUCACUAUAAUAUUAAUGGGCUAACACACACAAACCACUGAGAAAGUCGCGUAUUCCUGUAAAUUGGCCCCUAAAUGCCCAAAAUGAACUCUAAAAUUGUGAGACUAUGUACUGCUCCACUAACUCCCUAUGGAGGGUUCCGUAAAGAUUUCACAAAGAAAUUAUUCGGAAGACAUAUCACCAAAAUAUUUAUGGGCUAAUACAUUUUUAUUUGUCCAUUUGAUUUGACAUAUCUUUCAAGUACUUUGAUCUGGUUAUACUUUUUUUUUAUUGCUAAAAAUAAAUAUCCACUUUUACUUGUUCAUUCUACAAAACAAAGACAAUAUUUUAUUGCUUGAUUCAGAUAUAAAAUUUGAGUAGGCUAAUUUACAAACCAUCUGUAGUCAUCCUGCCCCUAUGCUAUAACAUUUGAAAGAAAGAGGUCAUCAUCAUCAUAUUCAUCAUCGUUGUCAUCUUCAUCAUCAUCUUCAUCAUCGUUGUCAUCUUCAUCAUCAUCUUCAUCUUCUUCAUCAUUAUCAUCAUCAUCAUCAUGAUCGUCAUCGUCACUUGUUUCCUCACUGUUGAAAAAGCCAGCAACAAAAGAUGAAAAAUGAAAUGUUAUGCAAGUAUAACAAGUUACACAAUUACUAUAUUGGAAGGAUUUAAAUCAUAUACAAUGACAACGUAUGAACUUUUACACUAUAGGUGCCAUUUAACUGCUUAUUAAAGCAAUUUAUAAUUAUUUUAUUACUAGUUCUGGACACGUGCUUUGCAUGUGUAUAUUACACGUUUAGUCACGAUUGUAAGAGGGUGUACACCAGGAUCAUUCGAAGAGCAAAGUCGUGUGAGCCUUACAGAUAUUCUUGACGUACUCCUAUUAAAAUCUGUAUCAUAUUCGUAACUUUUUGAAUGAGGUUCACCUUUUUCCUCAUUGUACUUUGUACAUGGAUGUUGUCCAUCACAAUAUCCCCUUUUUCAAAUUUCAUAGCUGAACUACUAGGUGUACGAGUUCCUACCAGAACUACUACCAACUAUUUAUCAAAACACACAUCAACUAUAUAUGAGUUGUUCCCUUUUACUAGUGGUGACAAAUAGGUGGAUUUGGACGGGACUGAAAAUGGAUUGAGCAACAUGGUCGUAACUCACUUAAUCUCUUAAAGCCAGAAAACUUUAAAGAGUUAAUUGAAAUAAACUUAAUGACUAUCCUACUUGAAGUAUCACCGUCGUUCAGGUAAGAAAAAGGAAGUAUAUCAAGGAAGAAGAUGUCUUACAAAGCCUGAUGGAUAUGGACCUCGAUAGAACCUCCAUAGUUGUCUUGAAUGUCCUGUUGAAUCUGCUUUGCGGAAUUCCCAACAGAUUCUGGGCAGUUUCUUAUAUAGAUUAGAGCAAGUGUGGUUAUAUCUGCAAAAUCUUGAGGGAUUGAGUCCAAAAACCUGCAACUAUCAAGAAAUAGUCGUUCAAGGCACGGAAAGUGAUCACAACUAGCUCUCCAGUACUGAAUAUGUGAUCUUUUAAGUAACAAGAACUUCAAAAAAGGAAACCCUUCCUCAGCUACUUCCCACUCCCUGCCUCUGCAUACACCCUGUGUUAGUUCAAGAAGUUCAAGUUUGGGCAAUUUUCCGACAACAAUGCUUAAAUCCUUCCAUGACAAGAAGAAAUUUCCUGUAAAAGUUAAAUUCUUAAGGUUUCGUGGAAAAGCAUCUGGAGGAGGUAAGAUCAAAGAUGGAACAACUUCUACAACAAGUGGAUUCCUUGUCUGAAAACACAUUCUCCUCUCCAAAAAGUAAGCAUUAUUUUGAGGAGGAAGACAAAAUGCUAGUUCCUCGAGAUGAUCUAAGUAGCGAAAAUCAUAGAGGUCUUUGUGACUAUGGAAGUCUUGUGGGAUGCCACGUACUUGCAACUCCUUUAAAUUGGGAAAUAGUCUAAAGAAAGAUGCAGUACAAUAGCUAGGAUUCCAUCCAAACAGAGAAUGUAAAUUUUUCAUAACCAAACUUUUCUCUGUAAGCUCAUGAUAUCGCAAGUAAUUCCGAUCCAAAUGAAGGUGCCUCAACUGUGGCAUUGUCAAAAUAUCUGAUGGUAAUAUCAAAGCAUGUUUACGAAGAUUAAUGACGAGUGGAAGGUAAAGUACCAAACUUUGCAGAUAGCAUAGGUUUGAUAUGGAUGUAGGAAUGUCUACUCUUGAUGAGAGAACAUCUUCUUCGGAUCCUAGAUAUUGCUCAACGUUAGGAUAAAUACGCAAAGCUAGGUGUCUUAAGUGAAUCAAAUAAAGUAUUUCACGGGGAAAAGUUAGACAGAUAUUAUCAGCAAGAUCUAGAACUCUUACUAGCUUGAACGGCAAGUACUCCCUCAUGCAACAUCGGAAUCUACCAAAUAAGAUAACAGAAUGAGCUUCACUGUUAAGGCACCUAACAUACUCUUUCUUAUUAUGGAUGCUGAUUCGACUUCGACUCUUAGACAAACACUGCAUGGAUUUCACAUAUGAAUUUUGAUCAUUCUUUCUUCUGAGAACAUUCACAAAAUUCAUGUUACGAGCUUCCAUCAAACAGAGUUCACGAGUCAUAUCAUGAAUUCCACAACACUUAAUUUUUCCAUCAAAAGUAGUACUUUUAAUGGAAAUUAAACUUCUAUCAAUAAGAUCUUGUAGGUACUUUUCUGCCACUUCUUCUAUGCUUUUCAUCUCUUCUACCUUCAAAAAUCCCUCUGUUUCCCACAAUAUCAUAAGUUUAUUGACAAAAAUCAGUUUAUCCUCUGGGAAGAUUGCGAAAUAUAAAAAGCAUGGUUUUAGGUGGUGAGGCAAGUAAUGGUAACUCAUUGCCAACACCCUCAUGCAUUGGACACCAACAUCUGUGCUUACUGCUGAACUUACAUUUUCAGCAACACUUUGCCACUCACUCAAUGCUUUGUCAAUUUUAGUGAGAAGUCCCGCGAUCACAACAAUUGCUAGAGGCAAUCCUCCGCAUUUCAAUGCAAUUUGCUUUCCAAGUUGUUCAUAUUCAGGGGAGAAAGAGUCUUUCGUAAAGACUUUUUCAUAUAAUAAAUUCCAACUUUCGUCAAAAUUCAUGAGGCGCAUGUGAUGAGGAAGCUUACCUGAGCUAGCAUAUUCAGCCACUUCCACAUUCCGAGUAGUCAAGAGUAUUCGGCUUCCAUUAUGAAAGUCUGGGAAACAUAUUUGUAUAUCAUCCCAAGCUUUUGUAGUCCAUAUGUCAUCAAUGACUACCAAAUAUCUCUUGCCUUUUAGAAGCUUUUGCAGUCGAUCUGCUAGUUGCCCGUCAUGUAGCUGAUCAUAAGGUUUAUCACUUAUACAAGAAAGAAGGUCUAGGAAAACAUUUCUCACACAAUACUCUUGUGAAACAGUAGCUUUUGCACGUAUGUCAAAGCGAUACAUCAUGCAUGGAUCGUUGUAGAGUUUUGUUGCCAAAGUUGUCUUGCCAAUGCCUCCCAUACCUACAAUUGAUACAACUUCUAGUUCUCUUUCUCCUCUAGCAAGUUGAUCCAGCAUCAUCUUGAAUUCAUUUUCAUAGCCAACCAUUAUAACCUCGGACCGCUCAACAGCAAGUUCAGGUAUCUUGGAUAGACAGAAAUUUUGUGCUUUGAAAUCUUUAAUGUUGUUGUACCAGUCCCAUAUUGCCAACCACUGCAUCAUGAAGGAAUCAAUACAUUCUACCUCUUGUUCCAAGGAACAACAGAGUUCCCAGAAAGCUUUGCUUCGUGUAAUUACAGUUUCUGCAGAAGAAACUUUUCUUGAUUUCGAAUCAACCAUGUCUUCUGCUUUGAAUGCUACCUCCGUGAUUUCAACUUCCAAGGUUGUUAACCCCUCAUGAUCGCCCGUUAUAUUGCAGGAUUUCUCUAGAAUAGCUCUCAAAGAUUCGAGCUUUUCAUAAAACGGUUGCAAAUCACAUCCAUUAAGUUCCAUUGAUUGGUGUAUGGUUCUCAUAAGGGAAGUAACAGCAGCAUAAGCCAUAUAUCCAAAAAAUAGGAAUCUCUCACUCUCAGUAUGAAAAUGGACAAAUUAAUUGCCACAAGUUAUGUAAUCUUUCUUUUACUAACUAUUUCCAUCACAUUUCUAGCUAGGUCCACUAACAGGAUAAAGUAGAAAGAUGUGAGGUCACUAACCUUAUCAUCAUGAAGACAAAAGAAGAGACCAAAGUUAAAAAAAAAAAAAGACGAAAAAGUAGAAAAAAUUGUGAUCAUUCAUUAUUAGACCCUACACUAAUCUCUUCAGAAAAAUAAAAUAAAAUUUUAGUUUAAAUAAAGGAAUUCAAGCUGUAUAUUGAUAACGUCCAAUUCAAAUUCAAGUGUAGUACGGUCUAGCAAUAAUAAACUCAACAAAAGUUGGAGUCGAGGAGUACGCUUGUGUCAAGGUGACAGAGAGUGUGCGAAUUUGCUAACAAACAAAAGGUCUUUCUUUUAGCUAGGUCCAUAAUCCAUGUAGUGCUCUAUACUCUCUAGUCUCUAUCAACCAGCUCAAGUUUAAGGGUGUGUUUGGUAUGGAGGAAACAUUUUCUCUAGAAUAGGGAGAGAUUUGUGCAUAAACAAGGAAGAAUCUCUCAGUAUAACAGUGAAUGGGUAUUUUUUUAAGAUUUGCUUCUUUUGUGUAUGACUUUUGUAAGAAACAUUCUGGUAAAAGUUAAAAAAAAUGAUCUUGUGGAAUAGCCACAGUGAAUUCCUUAAUAUUCGAGUAGAAAAAGCCAGAGAGGAUAACAUUGCUAUUUGUACACUUAUCGUGACACGAGUAGUCUCUUAAAUAUUACACCUUUCUACUGAUGUUGCUGAUGCCACUGGAUUUAGCCUUCCGUCUUCCUUUGCAAGGUAGAUCGAGGACUCCCAAGAAAGGAAACACAAGUUACUGGAGUCUGUUCUGGCCUAUACAGUAUGUAUGUACAUAAAAUUUGGAGUAUCUAAAAACCACUGACAAAUGGCUAUACGAAAGAUCAUAUACAAUUAAAUUACAAGCCAUUUGCAAUCAUCCUGCCCCUUUAUGCAGAAUCUUUUCAAAGAAAAUGAAAACGAACAAAACAAACACUCACACAUUUGGCUUCUGAUUUGACAUUUAUUUCAGAGAACUGGCUAGUCGCUGCAGGAAAAAAAAAGACGCAAAAAAUGGAAAAUAAUAUGUUAGAUGUCCCAUAAUUAAGGAACAAGAGAACAUUAUAGCAAGAAUGAGCAUGCAGGUAUAAGAACUUACACAUUAUUGCGGCAAGAAGCAACUUCUUUCUCAAAGUCAUCAUCAUCAUCUUCAUCUGUUGUUACACUAUCGAAAAUGCUAGCUACAAAAGAUGAAAAAUGAAAUGUUACACUUCCCAAAAUCAAGAAUGAGCAUGCAAGUAUAACAAGUUACACAAUAUUGGAAGGAUUCGAAUCAAUCACAAUGACAGCAUCAAGAACUUUUGUUGAAUUGGUGUAAUUUGACUUACUAAAGCUAUUAUCCAGAUUAUUAUCGAGUUUACUAUAAUGAUGAGUUAAAUAUUGUUGUAAAUCAAGGAAGAAGAUGUCUUACUAAAGAUUACGAGUAUGGACCUCGAUAGAGCUUCCAUAGUUGUCUUGAAUGUCCUGUUGAAUUUGCUUGGCGGAAUUCCCAACAGAUUGUUGACAGUAAUGUAUAUCAAUAAGAGCUAGUGUGGUUAUAUCUGCAAAAUCUCGAGGGAUUGAAUCCAAAUACUCGCAAUUUCUAAGAAAAAGUCGUUCAAGGUACGGAAAGUGAUCACUACUAGCUCUCCAGUACCGAAUGUAUAUUUGAUCCAGAAACAAGAACUUCAAGUGAGGAAACCCUUCCUCAACUACUUCCCACUCCUCGCCUAUGACGGCAUUGUGUGAUAGUUUAAGGACCUCGAGUUUGGGUAAUUUACCAACAAUGCUCAAAUCCUUCCAUGCCAAAAGGAAAUCUCCUCUAAAAGUUAAACUCUGGAAAAGAUUAAUUAACAAAAAUUUAUGGUACUAAUUGGGGUAUUAAUUAACAUAUCCUUACUUGAUCACAUAUGUAUUGUUCUGUGUGAAAUUUUCCUCUGACUGAUAGUUGACUAAAUUAUAUUGCAUACGUUCGUGUACAUUUUCUCACUUGGAAGAGUGGAUUUGGACGUAAUUAACUAUCACCAUCGUUUAGGUAGAAAAAAGAAAAUAACUAAUAGUUGAAUGUUUUAAUACAUAGAUGAUCAACUAAUAUGAGAAGAAAAGAGUAGCGUAAAUGUGAGAUUCACUUCUCACCAAGAAUCCUCCUUUCUUAUUAUUUUCCUUUUAGAGGUUAAUAAUUAUUAAGUAUCCCUAGAAUAAUUUAUUGAAAAAGUAGAUUUGAAAGAAAGCAAUUACUCUCUUCUUCCUAUGCGGGACUUCUUGAACAUAACUAAUUUGACAAAAACCACAAUUUUAUUUAUUUUUAGGUGGAAUUAUAUCAAUAAGGAACUAUAUAUGCUUAUGAUAUUAAUCUAAGACCAUUAUUUGUUACUUGAACACAUGGAUUCAUCAUCUGAACAAUUGAAACAAUUAAUACUUGUGUGAACCUUUUUUUAUUUCGAGUGAUGUGUCAUAAUCAUUAGCCAACUAAGACUAGCGUUAAAUUUUUGGUAAGUCUCAAGAAGUGUAAUUAAUACUUAAUAAAAUAAUCUCAUCCUUGAGAUUCAAGAACUUGUUUGGAUUGAAUAGGUUUUUAUCAUCAAGAUCUAGAACAAAGUCUUAAUAUUAGUAAGAGGUAUUUUUGUGUGAAAAGUUUUCUUUGAGGUUCGAGAAAUGGAAUAGAUAUGGACUACAAGUUGAUAUUUCCCAUUGGAAAAUUCACACAAAAAGGAACAAGGAAUUCUCAAUGAAAAAAGCGCUCUCCAAAUCUGUUUAGUAUUUGUCAUGAGGUUCUUAUCAUAAUUGGAUUUUCCUUUUAGGAAAAGGUAAACACAGUCUCCAUAUUUGUCUAGUUCUUUUUCUUGUAGGAAAAAAAUUAUGACUCUAUAAAUAGAUGUUUUGUAACAUCCGACAAUUUGAAAUAGCUAAGAAGAGGCUUGAAAUUUGGAAAUUUUCAAUUUUUGGAAAGGAUUUGAAAAUCUGGAAAAUUUGGCUAAGUAUGGGAAAGGUGAGUUUUUUUGGGCCCAAACUUUGAACAACCAUAAAUUCUAGCUCAGGAUGAGUUAGGUGGAGUUCCGGUUAUGUUUGCAUAGCCCUCGGAACGACCUUUCCAACGCCACUGAGUUUGCUCAAUUCUGAGUUCGUAUGAGCGAGUUAUGGCCAUUGAAAGUUGGGCAGUUGGCAGGGAAUCCGUCCGGAAAAUUAAGGGCAUUUUAGUCUUUUCCCUAGCCAAUUCUUUUGGGAUUAUAUUGUUGUAUAGGGCUGAUCUUUAGAUCAUUUUGUCCCAUUUUAAGAAAUUAAAAUCUAGGGCUUGAGAGUGAAGAAGAGAAGAAGGAGAAGAAGAAGAGAAAAAUCGAGGAGAUCAACAAGUUUCCGACAAGAUCAUCGUGAAUGUUCGUCGGGGGUGAUCCCUAUCAAGGUAUGUGAGCUUUUAGUGUUGGGUGAUACUUUCCCCCACACACCUAGCCCCUUUUAUUUAUUAAGGAAGGAUUGGUUAUGUUGUUAAAGUUGUUAGUUGUUGUGGUUGAAGUUGUUGGAGUUGUUAAAGUUGUUAGUUGUUGUUGUUGGAAUUAUUGUUGGUGGUGGGACAUAAUUGAGUUGUGUUUUUAUGUUGAAAUCUAUUGAAUGUUGAGGGAUUUUAUGUUUCUAAGUGAUUGGGGGCUGGAAUCUUUGAGGUUAGAGGGUUUAGAGUUGGUAACGUGAAGGAGAAAGUCGGGUAGCUUGCGAGGAGCAUGUCUGCGUCGCGGACUUGUUCCUCUGUGAACAAAAAAUCUUCUCCGCGUCGCGGACAGGACGCAGACUCCACUGUUUUCAGAAUUUAUGUUCGAAGAUUUUCUUAGGUUUGGCUGUCCCAAAUCAUUCGCAAAUCAUUCCUAAACAUCAUGAGACCCUUCCAAACACCAAUCAAGUCCUUGAAUCCAUAAUCCAAUUCAAGGUGAGUUAUGAUCAAGUCAAGUGAAGUUAGUUUUCAAGUCAAGUGAAGUUAGAAGUCAAGUGAAGUUAGAGCCAAGCUUAGAAGUUAAGCAAGUCAAAGCAAGUCUUUAAAGCUUUUCAAGAGUCUUCAUUGAACGUUUUGACUUCAUUCUAAGGCUCAAGUUCCAAGUUAAGUAUAGAGUUUCAAGUCAAGCAAAGAGUCUCAAGUUUCAAGUUAAGUAAAGAGUAUCGAGUUUCAAUUUAAGUCAUAAUUUUUCAGUCAAGAGUCAAGAGUUGAGUUCAAUUCUCAAAAGUAAUUAGGGAACUAAGUAUUUCCCAAAGAAGUUUUAUAAGUGUUUUCACAUUUAAGUUGAGAGGAAACGGAGAUUUCCAAAAGAGUUUUGAGAAGUUUGAGCACUAUCUCUUUUAAAAGAAAAGAUGAGUUUUUGAAAAAGAGUUUCUAAAUUAUGAUUAGUAUGACAAAUGGAGUAUGUCAUCAAUGUUUAAACAGUAUGGUCUCUAGAUAUACCAUCAAUGUUUAAGCAGUAUGAAUAUCCCGAGUCAUCAAUGAUCAUAAAAAAAAAAAAUGUGGUUUUGACUUGUUCUAUUUAGAAAGAGUUUUCAAGUGCCUUCGGGCUAAGUUUUGAGUAAUUAUCUCAACUAAAGAAAGAUGUGCUUAAAACACUUAUGAGCUAAAGUAUUUUGGGAGUAGUAUCGAGCACCGAAUUGGGGAAACGAGUUCAUAUUAAACUCAACUCUCCAUAAGAACCAUGUAGCCAAACAUGGGAUUUCUCGGAUCAUACUUUUUAGAUGAUCACGAAAGUUAAGCUAGUGGAUCCAUUAAGCAAAAGUUAAAGUAAGGUCCUAUAUCGAUGGCAAGGUAUAGGAUGGUCCUUGGGCAACGUGAGGUAAAACGUUGUAUCACCACUCAGAUUCAUAGUGGUGGUUUGUCGGUUAGAGAAGCUCCCACAGUAGAAAGAGCAUGGUUCCUCGAGGGUUCUGCUUAGUAUGGAUGGGGGUAUGGGACUUCAUUCAUGCAUUGCACAAGUAGACUUUGAGAGGAAGCAUGGUAUUUUUAUGAUAUUAUAAAUAUGAUUUUUACGUCAUGUUUUAAUAGUUUCAAAAGCUUUAUAUAUAUUGCAUGUGUCUCAUUGCUUUAUAUUAAGUUCAGUUAUUCUUGAGUUGUACAGAGCCAAGGUAAGUUCUCUUUUGUAUCCCUUUUCAAGCUUAAGUUGUUGUUUAGCGGUCCAGCUCGCAUACUCGUACAUUCCAUGUACUGAUGCCAGUUGGCCUGCAUCUUAUGACGAUGCAGACACNNNNNNNNNNNNNNNNNNNNNNNNNNNNNNNNNNNNNNNNNNNNNNNNNNNNNNNNNNNNNNNNNNNNNNNNNNNNNNNNNNNNNNNNNNNNNNNNNNNNNNNNNNCAGUCAGUUAGUUUUGAGUCUCUCAUCUAUGUAUAUAUGUAAAUAUUCUAUUUUGAGACUCGAGUGGCCUUUUUGGCCAGAUGUGUAUCAUUUAAGUUGUUUAUGUCUUUGCAUGGCAUUGAGUUAUUCUGUUGAGUAGGUUUCCGCUGAGUUAAGAAAGCCAGGCCAAGGGUUCGCUUGGGGCCAGCAAUGGUCUCUGAGUGCCGGUCCCGCCCAGGGUGUAGGCUCGGGGCGUGACAUGUUUAUUCAUUCUAGCUUGGUAGCAUUCAUAAUGCAAUCCUAGGGGGCUUUGAGAGUUUUGUGUAUUGUGUGAAGCUAGAGGAAGAAUGUAUGAGACACAAGUAUUACUUUAACACUUGUGUGAACCUCUUUGUAUUCAGAGUGAAUUGUGUGAGGUUAUUCUUCUCUAGAUUUUAUAGUGAUUUUUUCAUCUCCUCUUGUGGAUGUAGAUCGGUUGACCGAACCACGAUAAAUGUUUGUGUCUUUUGAUAUAUUUCUUGUUUGUCUUAUUACUCAUCGUCUUUCAAGGUUUGCUUUGCUAGCUUUUGCAUGACACCUAAUUAUUUCAGUCCCAACAAGUGACAUCAGAGUCAGGUUCAAUGGUUUAAUGAUUCAAUGGUCGAACCAUGUUAAAAAUAAGUGUUCAUCUUGACGGGUUUAGUUCUAGCCGUAACAUAUUUGACAGUAAUGAAGAUUUUUGUUGGAGAAAUAUUUUCAAAGAUGUUUUCUGUGUUGAUAUAUAUAUAUAUAUAUAUAUAUAUAGAUUUUGCAGAGGAGAUGCAAGGUAUUGAAGAUUAUGUGAAGAAGGUGGAUCAAAUUUAUUUUGUCAGAAAUUUAGGCCAAUGGAGAUAUUUGUUUAGUAUUUGUCAUGAAUUUCUUAUCAUAAUUGGGUUUUUUCUUUUAGAAAAAGGAAACCACAAAGUUUCCAUAUUUGGCUAGUUCUUUUUCUUGUAGGAAAAUGUUUGACUCUAAAAUUAUAUGUGUAUUCCUUCUAGCCUAAUAGCAUUUACAAUGUAGUCCUAAGGGGCAUAGAGAGUUUUGUGUAUUGCGUGUAGCUAGGGGGAGAAUGUGUGAGACACAAGUGUUACUUUAACACUUGUGUAAACCUCUUUGUUUUUCCAUUGAAUUGUGUAAGGUUAUUCCUCUCAAUAUUUUGUACUUUCUUUUAUAUAGUGAAUUGCUCAUAUCCUCUUUUGGAUGUAGGUCGGUUGUCCGAACUACGUUGAAUAUUUAUGUCUUUUGGUAUAUUUUUCGUUUGUAUUAUUACUCAUGGUCUUUCAAAAUUUGCUUUGCUAGCUUUUGCCUGAUACCUAAUAAUUUCAGUCCCAACAAAACCAAACGUGAAAGUUGUUUUCCAGCAGACAACUUUUCUAGUAGCUCUACUCUCGACUUGGAUAAUUUAACCAAAAAGGUACGCUUUCGGCCAUUCUACAUGCUGCCUAUGUAGAGACAUGUUUAUCUAAAGUGGAUUCUCUUUUUUGUAGUAGGUAUCAAACCUGUUAUGCCCAUUGACUAAGAAGCUAGGGGUGGACACAACAACUACAUGGACCUCUUUCUUACAUCGGCCAUCACUAUUAAUCGUCUUUGUUAUCACAAUGACCACCACUAUUACCGUCAUCAAACAUCUCUGUCCUCACAAUUACCAUUAUUAUCAACCACUACUAUAUAUCAAACAUUUGCUAUAUUUAUGUUUUUUAUUGACAUAAACAAUGGGUUAACAUGAUAUAAUUUAUUAGUAGUUUUAUAUAUUUUUCUUAUAAUAAAGGAAACAAUCACUUAUACAUUCUUUGAGAUCAUUUAGUUUAAAAUCAGGAGUGGAAUCAUAACUAGGGUUAUAGCUUAGCAUCAAUUCACCUUCUUAAUUAAUGGGAUAAUUUAAUUAGCUAAAUUUGAAUGAAAAGAAGAAGAAAUUGAUUAAUUUAAUUCGUUUACGUUCCAAUGGGGUGUGCAAUAUCCAUAAAUUUGUCAUGUCGUUAUUAGGUGUUCAUGAGAUGCACAUAUUCCAAGCAAAAGUACCUAUUUGAUCACUAGAUGAGUUUAAGUAUUCAAUUUACAAAUUCUGCCAAAUUUGAGGGACUAUCUAGGUAUUAUUUAGAUAAAAUUAUUUGUAUAGUCCACUCUAAACAUACUUAUAAUUAAGCAAGUAACAUAUACUAUAUAAAGAAGCUUCUAGAGAUAAUUAAAGUUAACUCUAUAUAAUUAGAGUUGCAAUAACAAAUACGUCAAAACAUUAAAGUGUUUCACCAAUAAAGUCAUUUUUUUAAUGUCCAAAACUAAUCCAAUGGAAGCUCUAUUAUGUGGAACACCAGAAGAAGUUUCAGUAUUGUUGGUACAUCAUGAAGUAGAAUUUCUUACUAAUCAGACUGUUAAAUUGUUAGAGGCUUAUAAAUACAAAGGUGACAUUCUAGAAUUUUUUUAACUUUUUUGUUUCUUUGAUAUAAUAACUAAAUGCCGUGUGACAUUUUUUUUUAUAUAUAGAGAGAGAUUGAAAUGAUAUGCUUUUUGUUAUCUCAUUUAUGAUUUUAGCAUCGUCCAUUUUUAAAUUUCAUUUAUCUUGUAAAUCUUGAACUUUUCUUUUUCCUUGUUAUCAUAGCACUUUUUAAUUUUUACAAAUUUAUCUAUCCUCGAAGAAAAAUAAUUCUACAUUAGUGAUGGAUGCACAAGAAAUUAGGAUGACGGGAGGGAAGAGAAAGAGCACGAAAAAGACAUGAUAAGAGAUGAUCUGUCUAUCAUUAUUACUUGAGAUAAUAUUUUUUUGUCUUUUAUUGGAUGUAUAAAAAAAAAUGAGGAGAUCUAAUUUUCAUUAAAAAAACAUUUCCCUUUCUAUUUUUUGUUUUUGUUUUUCGUUGGACGUAGACAAAAAAUUGGCAACUCCUUUCUUAUACUUUGUUAGAUCAUCUAAUUACAUAUCUAUGAAAUAAAAUUACCUCAAAACAUUUUAUCCUAUUAUCUUUUGCUUUAAUAUUUAUUUGUUUUUGACAAGCCAUAAAUAAAUUGGAAUAGUUUUUAGAAAUAUAUUCUUUAGGAUCUUCUCUAGUUUUUAGUAAUCCAAUUAACGAAAAAAAAAAACUAAUAUAUACUUUUUAUGUAACCAAUCUAGUUAAGAUUGCACUCAUCAUUUAUAAUAUAAGUUGAUUAAUAUGUGUUAUUUUAAAAAUUAAAGUGCAGAAAUAUAACAUGAAAAUUCACAGUUGAAUUUGAAUAACAAACAAACAUAUCCAAAUGAUACCUUUGUGUACAAUAUUUUUUUUUUCAUAAUUUUCACUGAUUUCAAAUUGCACGGGUAUAUGUAGUUACGGAAGUUAUGGCUCCUGCGGCAAUGUCAAUGCUUUUCAAAGAAAAGAAAAAAAUUGAUGCAAUGAUAAUCAAGGUCAUUUCACCGGAUUCACAUUGCUUUGAGCUCCUGGCACAAGCUGUAACCUUGAACAUCAUCGUAGUAAGUAAGUAUUUAUAAUUCUAUCUUCCACUUAUUAUUAUAGACGGUAAAGUAAGUUUUUUUAAUUAACUAUUGCAUAAUGUAUAUAAUAUUAUUCAAUUUUAAUUGCUAUCUUCUUGAUAUAAUUAUGCAGUUGUCUAUGAUGAACUCAAUGAAUUCUUAGUGAAGAAAGCUUUGGACAAUGGAGCUUACAUUUGCUCGAAGAAGCCUCUUGUCGAGCAAACUAUGACAUUCUUGUGGCAAUUUGUAUGGAGGGAGAAAACACAAAGAGGGAAAUCAAUAAAAAGAGUAGAAACAAAGGGAGAUCAUAUUUUUGUUUGAAGUUAUUGGAGUUCUGAGAAAACAAUAGGUCGUGGUUUUUUCCUCCCUUGAGCAAAGAGGUUUCCACGUUAACAUAUGUGUUCUUACUUUAAGCAUUUAGAUUACUUCUUGUUAUCAGUAUAGUCAAGUGGUCAGAACACGAGAAGACAUGUCACUAAACAACAACAUAUAUAGGAAAAAACAAACUCUGCUAAGUGAUCGAUCCGUGUGUGAUAGUUGCCUUCUUAACCUUGAACUAUUGCUUCCUGCUAGAUUAUAUGAACUUAGAUAUGUAUACAAAUUAGUAUUCAAUGAGUUCCCAAACAUUCGUGCAUAAACAAUUUCCCCUGUUGUCGUGCCACCAGGACUUAGCAUAUGUUCUGUAUUUGUAUAAUUUCGAUGAUGAUCAUGAGAUUGCUGGGAUAAUGGAGGCAUAUUAUUAUUGUGUAUUAGACCGUGACUCCUACAUCUCGAACUAGGAGGUCUUUGUGGUAUGACUAUACCAAAAUUCUAUACCAAAAUUCGGGGCCUUAAUUUCAGAUGUUUUUGUAGCUUGACAGCGACCAUAGAGUGGAAUCAAUGUUUUUUGUGAGACUUCAGCUUUGCAAACAGGGCAAUUUGGUUGUUGGUUAUCGAUGUUCUCUGAUGAAAUGGUCUUAAAAUGUAUCCAUUUGUAGAUGCAAGGCCAACAAUAGGAGGUGACCACAUAAUGUAACAACAGGAUCAUGUACAACAUCUAGGCAAAUGUUGCACUCGAAACCUCCAGGUGAAUUUUCUUCAAGUUUAUCAAGAUCAAUUGUCUCCAUUUUUCAAAGGAAAUAUCGCGUUGAUCAAAGGUAGUUUCUGCUAUUUGGUCUUGAAAAAUUUGUUCUAAGGCCAUAUUUGCCUCUUGGUAUUGAAUUAUUUUGGUAAUGGCAAGAUGAAGAAUGGUUAGAAUUCAGGUUUUUAAUACAAUUAGAAGUGAGUAUUUAUAAGGACAAAGAAUAGUAGUUUGCAAACAAUGAUUCUUAAGGUUGUCACUUGUCAACAUCACAUUAUGUUAAAGGGGCAUGGCCAAAAAGAAAAGGCCCUACACAUUAUUAAACAACACUAUAUCAUAUUACUCAACAGUCUUGAUUUAUGGGGUAUUGUUUGAUUUGAUAUAACAUUUAAUAAGAAAAUGAAGACUUUUAAAAUAUGUACUGUAUUAAAGAUAAAAAAUAAAUUUUAAGUUUUUCGAUCCUAGAAAUGAUAUUCUUUUUAUAUUAAGACUAAAACAAAUGUUUUACAUAAAUUAAGAUAGAUGAACUAUCAAACACAUCAUAAUUAAGUGAUUUAAUGAAGUCAAAAAUAAAUAUUAAUGGAUCAUGGUUAAGUGAGAGGAGUUUUGUGCAAACACGUCUUUUAUCUAUCUAUUUGAUUUAAACAAGCAUAAGUUUUAUCAUAUUAGAAAUAUGAUUAGGACCUUAUAUUAGGCCCCAUGAUAGGAAUCUUAAUCUAGAAAAUAACUUUUAGUCAAUAAAAAGUAGCACUAGUUGCGUACAAGGAGCUACCACUUGAUGACCUUCCACACUUCCACAUCCCAUAAGUUCAAUAGUUUUCACACUAUAAGAACUAGAUGUUUUUUUCCGCGUGAAUCAAUAAAAUUUUUAGUUUUAUGUUAUAAAACAUGAUUUUUUUCAUUUUGAUUUUAUUAAACUAAUUCACUAAGAAAAUUCAUAACGAAACAUAAGUUCUCAUUGAAAUACUGGAAAUAGUCACUUGGAAAUUUAUGAGUUUUAGGAAAUUAUGCAUCAAAACUUAGAAAGACGCGGCUCAUAUAGAAAUUUGUUGUUAAAUCAUAAUAUAUACUUUUACAUCUGAAUAUCUUUAUUGAUUUGGUUAAAAUUAUAAUUAAAAAAAUUACAAUACAAUAUAUAUAGAUUCACAUAAAUUUAAUACUGUAAGUUCAAUUAUUAUUCAAUUAUUAUUAUGAUAUAUUAAUCUAAAAUUAUUAUAGAAGCUUCUAAACUCUAAAUUCAGAUCCAACUAAGGAGUGAAUAUACAUAGUGGGGGUCUGGGGGAUGGGAGAAAACAUAUGGACGGUGUGACAAAUAAAUAAAAGAAAUACUCCGUCCAUUCCAUUUGACUUAGUAUUGUUUGACUUAAUACGAUGUAUAAGAGAAAAAAAAGAUUUUAGAAAAUUAUAGGCUAAAACAAUUUUUAUAUAUUUAUAUAAUUGUAAAUCAUUUCAUUAAUUAAGGGUAGAUGGAGAAUUUUAAGUUUAAUUAUUUUCAAUUACAAUAAAAUGACAUUUUUAAAGACGGAUUAUGAGAAUAGAGUGCCACGUAAAAUAAAACGAGAAAAUACUACUCCCUCCUUCCCAUUUUAUAUGUUACCUUUUUACUUUACAUUUACAUUAAGAAAUAAUGUAACUUUACCCUUCUACCCUUAUUUAAUGUUUUCUUAAGUUAACUUUAUAACUCCCUCCGUCCCAUUUUAUAUGUCAUCUCUUUCUAUAAAUAGUUGGACCACAAUACUUGUCAUUUUAUAAAAUUUAUGUAUAAAUUACCAUAUUUUACCUAUUAUAUCCUUGAUAGAGUAGUUAAUUAAUCUUGAAAAUAUAUUCAUCAUUUAUUAUAAAUUGACUUAAGAAAAUAUUAAAUAAGAAUAGAAAGAUAAAAUUACAUCAUUUCUUAAUAAAAGUAUAAAGUAAAAAUGUGACGUAUAAAAUAGAACGGAGGGAGUACUACAAAAGAACGAGUCCGCACAUGCAUUAUACAAGUACUACAUGUGUCUCGAAUUUAGCAGCCUUUUGUCAACUUUUUAUAUUUUGGCUUACUUGGAAGCAAGUCUAUCCUCUCCUAUACAAUCAAUUAGGGUGGCCAUUAAUCAUAUAUUAUUAGGCUAAAGAUAACAUAUUGCUCCCUCCGUUUUUAAUUAUUUAUCCAUUUUUUUAGUUAUUCCUAAUUACUUGUCUAUUUUUACAAAUCAAGAAAGAACAAUUUUUUUUACCUAUUAUACCGUCAAUUUAUUACUUUGAAAAAAGUAGAACUUUUUGAAAAUCUUGAGUUUUUAAUUCAUCCACUUCAUAAUUAAUAUGGAUAAAAUGGUAAACUCACUAUUUCAAUAAUUGUUUUCUUAAUAGGUGUGCCAAUUCAAAAAUGGACAAGUAAUUAGGGAUAGAGAAAGUAUAUCGAAAUAAUAUAAUAAGAUAUUAUGCUAAAGAUAAUUAACAAAACUUUGAACAAUUAUAAAUAAGAUAGCAAAAAAAUCCAUAGUAAAUUAACAUGGUUCAACGAUUAGUGAUGGAAUCUGAAUAUGAUUCAGGAUUUUCACUAUUAAUGAAAUUCAAAAGGAAUAAUACAUAAAUGUGCCCUUUAACUUGACUUCAUUUUAUGUUUAUGUCCUUCAACUUUGGGUAUACACAAAUAUGCACCUAAACUUGUAUAAAGUUGAACAACUAGACACAUGAGUCCUACAUGACACAAUACACAUAAGAUACCACGUAGGAUAAAAAAUGCCAUGUAGGACAUGUGUGUCUAUUUUUUCAACUUUAUACAAAUUUAAAUAUCUACUUGUGCACACCCAAAGUUGAAGGGCAUAAAUGUGAUUUGAAGCCAAGUUAAAGGGUAUAUUUAUGUAUUAUGCCUAUUCAAAAUAUGAAUAAAUAAACAUAUAAAUUAGCUGACUACAAUAAUAGACAGAUAAAAAAUAAUUUUAACUAUAUGUAUAAAUAAUAUAAUUUUUCAUCGAAAGAGGUUCAUCUGAUUCCUCACUACUUUCUCUCAUUCAAAACUAAGCAAUAUGAGACUUUCAUGUCACAUGGAACCCUUUUUUUUUUUUUUGGAAAUCUCAGUAGUUCAGUUAAUUGACUGACUAUCUGAAUUCUCGAUUUCCCAUGUUGUAAUCCUCUACCCCAAUUUUUUUAUUACCUUCCUCACAUAUGUAUAAGACCGAAUCCAAAUAUCUAAGAUGAGAGAAUUUUGGGAGAGCCACCGACUCCAACUACUGCCAUAUAUUAUCCAUAUUAGAUUUGACCAACUAUCCAUCCUACCCUCCUCUACGUUCUUGACAACCCAUUUUUGUCUUAGUCAAGUCUUUUAGUGGCACGUUUUGAUCCUCUUUUCAAUUACUUAGAAAAAGUGAGUUAUUAUUCAGAUACAAAAUACUAUCAUUAUCGCCUAAAAAAUUAGACAUUCAACCCGUAAUCACAAUGAUCCAAUUACAAAAGCUCCGAACCCCCUAGGUCUAGACUGGCUCUGGCCCUAGUUUUAUCUCUUGACCUUCACAUGAGUAAACUCGUUGAUAUAGAGGAUUACAGUAUUGAUUUCUUUAAAAGAAAAAAACCUUAAUUUAAGGUAUGGAGGCCUAGAAAGGAAACACACGUUAUAUAUGGAGCCUGUUCUGGCCUAUACAGUAUAUAUGUACAUAAAAUUUGGAGUAUCUAAAGAACCACUGACAAAUGGCUACGAAAGAUCAUAUACAAUUAAAUUACAAGCCAUUUGCAAUCAUCCUGCCACCUUAAGCAGAAAAAAUGAAAACGAAUAAAACAAACACUCACACAUUUGGCUUCUGAUUUGACAUUUAUUUCAGAGAACUGGCUAGUCCUCAGAACACCUUAACUACUCGCUGCAGAAAAAGAAAAAAAAGACGCAAAAAAUGGAAAAUAAUAUGUUAGAUGUCCCAUAAUUAAGGAACAAGAGAACAUUAUAGCAAGAAUGAGCAUGCAGGUACGUAUAAGAACUUACACAUUAUUGCGGCAAGAAGCAACUUCUUUCUCAAAGUCAUCAUCAUCAUCAUCAUCUUCAUCUGUUGUCACACUAUCGAAAAUGCUUGCAACAAAAGAUGAAAAAUGAAAUGUUACACUUCCCAAAAUCAAGAAUGAACAUGCAAGUAUAACAAGUUACAAAAUAUUGGAAGGAUUCGAAUCAAUCACAAUGACAGCAUCAAGAACUUUUGUUGAAUUGAUGCAAUUUGACUUACUAAAGCUAUUAUCCAGAUUAUUAUCGAGUUUACUAUGAUGAUGAGUUAAAUAUUGUUGUAAAUCAAGGAAGAAGAUGUCUUACAAAAGAUUCACGAGUAUGGACCUCGAUAGAGCUUCCAUAGUUGUCUUGAAUGUCCUGUUGAAUUUGCUUGGCGGAAUUCCCAACAGAUUGUUUACAGUCACUUAUAUCAAUAAGAGCUAGUGUGGUUAUAUCUGCAAAAUCUCGAGGGAUUGAAUCCAAAGAAUAGCAAUCUUUAAGAAAAAGUCGUUCAAGGUACGGAAAGUGAUCACUACUAGCUCUCCAGUACCGAAUGUAUACUCUAUCCAGAAACAAGAACUUUAAGUGAGGAAACCCUUCCUCAACUACUUCCCACUCCUCGCCUAUGAAGGCAUUGUCUGAUAGUUUAAGGACCUCGAGUUUGGAUAAUUUACCAACAAUGCUCAAAUCCUUCCAUGCCAAAGAAAAUUUUCCCCUAAAAGUUAAACUCUUAAGGUUUUGUGGAAAAGCAUCCGGAGGAGGUAAGAGUAAAGUUGGAACAUCAGUUGGAGGUGCAGUUCCCCCGAAACGAGUCUGAAACCUCAGAGGAUCUUGCGGAGUAGAACCUGAAGGUGCAGUGUUUUUUAGAAAGCAAGCAAUAGGUGAAUAAUAAAUACCAAAUGUCAAUUUCUCGAGCUGAUAUAAGUAGCGAAAAUCAUACAGGUCCUUGUGAUUGCGAAAGUCCUCUGGGACGCCAAAUACUUUCAACUUCUUUAAAUUGGGAAAUAGUCUAAAAAAAGACCCUGUACAAUACCGAGGAUUCAAUUGAUUGAGGCAUUGCAAACUUUUCAAAACCAAUCUGUUCUCUGUAGGCUCAUGACUCUGCAAGUAAUUCCAGCCCAUAUGCAGCUUCCUCAAUUGUGGCAUCGUCAAAAUUUCCGAUGGUAAUAUGAAAGGAUAACUACUAUUGGGAAAUGGAAGGUAAAGUUUAAAAGUUUGCAGAUAGCAUAGGCUUGAUAUCGAUAGAGGAAUGUCUAUUAUUGAUGAGGGAACAGCUUCUUUCGAUCCUCGAUACUGCUUUAAGCAAGGCUUAAAACACAAAGAUAGGUAUCUCAAAUGAAAUAGAGAAAGUACUCCACUGGGAAAAAAUGGGCAUAUAGUCAAACCAAGAUCUAGUACUCUUACUAGCUUGAAAGACAAUGCCAGUGUGACGCAUUUGAAUCCACCCAACAUGAUAAUAGAAUGAGCCUCACUGCUACAACACCAAACCAAUUUUUUCUCAUUAUGGAUUCUGAUCCGAUUUCGACUCUUAAAGGAACACUGCAUGGAUUGUUCACAUGAAUUUUGAUAACUCUUUCCUCUGAUAACAUUCACAAAAUUCAUGUUUCGAGCUUCCCUCAAACAGAGUUCACGGGUCACAUCAUGCAUUCCACAACUUUCUAUUGUUCCACGAAAACUAAAAUUGUGGAUGAAAAUUAAGCUUCUAUCUAUAAGUUCAUUUAUACAUGUUGUUGCCACCUCUUCUAUGCUUUUUCCCUCUUCUUCAUUCAAAAACCCCUCUACGGCCCAUAAUUCAACAAGUUUAUUUACAUAAAUCUGUUCAUCCUCUGCGAAAAUUGCAAAAUACAGAAAACACGGUUUUAGGUGAGAAGGCAAGUGAUGGUAACUCAAAGCCAACACUCUCAUGCACUUUGCUUCAAGAUCUGUGCUUACCACUGAACUUACAUUCUCCGCAACAUAUUGCCACACACCCAAUGUUUUACUGAUUUUGGAGAGAAGUCCAGCAAUCACAGUAAUUGCUAGAGGUAACCCUCCACAUUUUAAUGCAAUUUGUUUCCCAAUAUUUUCAAAUUCAGGAGAAUAAGAACCUUCUUUUUCAAAGAUCUUUUUGUGUAGUAAAUUCCAACUUUCGUCAAAAUUCAUGAGGCGCAUGUGAUGAGGAGGCUUACCUGACCUAGCACAUUCAGCCACUUCCACAUUCCGAGUAGUCAGGAGUAUUCUGCUUCCAUUAUAACAGUCUGGGAAACAUAGUUUUAUAUCAUCCCAAGCUUCUGUAGUCCAUAUGUCAUCAAUGACUACCAAGUAUCUCCUGCCUUUCAGAUGCUUCUGCAAUCGGUCCGCUAGCUGAUCAUCAGGUUCAUCACUUAUCGAAGGAAGAAGGCCUAGGAUUACAUUUCUCACACAAUACUCUUGUGAAACAGUUGCUUUUGCACGAAUAUCAAAUCGAGACAUAAUGUAAGGAUCACUAUAGAGUUUUGUAGCCAAAGUUGUUUUCCCGAUACCUCCCAUCCCUACGAUUGAGACAACUUCUAGUUCCCUUCCUCCUCUAGCAAGUUGAUCCAGCAUCAUCUCAAAUUCAUUUUCACGGCCAACCAUUAUAUUCUCGGGCUGCUCAACAGCAUGUUCAGGUAAACUGACAAGUGAGCUAGUUUGUGGUUUUAGAUCUUUCAUGCUGUCCGAUGCUGCCAUCCACUGUUUCACGGUGGAAGCAAUGCAUUCUAGUGCUUGUUCCAAGACGAAAAAAAUCUCCCACAUAGCCCUGCUUCUUUCCUCCAAAUUCUGUGCUAAAAAAACAUUUCUUGAUUCCGAGUCAACCAUAUCUUCUGUUGUGUAUGCUACCUCUGCGAUUUCAACUUCCAAGAUUGUUAACCCCUCAUGAUCGCCCAUUAUAUUGCAGGAUUUCUCCAGAAUAGCUCUCAAAGAUUUGAGCUUUUCAUAAAACGGUUGCAAAUCACAUCCAGUAAGUUCCAUUGAUUGAUGUAUGGUUCUCAUAAGGGAAGUAACAGCAGCAUAAGCCAUAUAUCCAAAAAAUAGAAAUAUCUCUCAGUAUGAAAAUGGACAAAUUGCCACAAGUUAUGUAAUUUUUCAGUUUUUAAGAAAACAGAAAAUGCAAAGUUCUUUCUUUUACUAGCUAUUUCCAUCACAUUUCCAGCUAGGUCCACCAACCUUAUCAUCAUGUAGACAAAAGCAGAGACCAAAGUUAAAAAAAAAAGAAAAAAGGCAGGACUCUAACAGGAAAAAGUAGAAAAAAUUGUGACCAUUCAUUAUUAGACCCUACACUUAUCUAUUCAUGAAUAUAGGUAUGUUUCUUACAUACAAGAGAUUGAUGAUUUUAAUUCCAUUGAAAGCAACUUCGUAGAAUUUUCCAAAUCAAAGAGAGAGAAAUAUUAAGAUCCAAGUAGGAAUUUCUCUAUUCCUAGUUCGAUUCAAUUAACCAAGCAUAAAUAUCUCUUUAAAUAUAUAUGAGAAGUUUAGACUCUAAAAGUCAAAUCAACAAAAUAUUUAUGGGCUAACACAUGAAAAACUAUUGAGAAAAUUGCCUAAUUUCUGUAAAUUGGCCCUUAAAUCUCCAAAAUGGACUCUAAAAAUUGUCAGACUGUACGUAUUGCUCCCAACUCCCUACUAAGGGUUCUGUAAUUUCGAUUAGAAUUCGCCCGUAAGUCAUAUCACCAAUAUAUUAAUGACUAACACACACGAAAAACUAAGAAAAUUGUCUAAUUUCUUGAAAUUGGCCCCUAAAUGCCUAAAAUGGACUCUAAAAAAUUGUCAGACUGUACGUAUUGCUCCCAACUACCUACUAAGGGUUCUGUAAUUUCGAUUAGAAUUCGCCCGUAAGUCAUAUCACCAAAAAUAUUAAUGGGCUAACACACACAAAACACUGAGAAAGUCGCCUAUUCCUGUAAAUUGGCCCCUAAAUGCCCAAAAUGAACUCUAAAAUUGUGAGACUAUGUACUGCUCCACUAACUCCCUAUGGAGGGUUCCGUAAAGAUUUCACAAAGAAAUUAUUCGGAAGAUAUAUCACCAAAAUAUUUAUGGGCUAAUACAUUUUUAUUUGUCCAUUUGAUUUGAUAUAUCUUUCAAGUACUUUGAUCCGGUUAUACUUUUUUUUUAUUGCUAAAAAUAAAUAUCCACUUUUACUUGUUCAUUCUACAAAACAAAGACAAUAUUUUAUUGCUUGAUUCAGAUAUAAAAUUUGAGUAGGCUAAUUUACAAACCAUCUGUAGUCAUCCUGCCCCUAUGCUAUAACAUUUGAAAGAAAGAGGUCAUCAUCAUCAUAUUCAUCAUCGUUGUCAUCUUCAUCUUCAUCUUCAUCAUCAUCUUCAUCUUCAUCAUCAUCUUCAUCAUCAUCUUCAUCUUCUUCAUCAUUAUCAUCAUCAUCAUCAUGAUCGUCAUCGUCACUUGUUUCCUCACUGUUGAAAAAGCCAGCAACAAAAGAUGAAAAAUGAAAUGUUAUGCAAGUAUAACAAGUUACACAAUUACUAUAUUGGAAGGAUUUAAAUCAUAUACAAUGACAACGUAUGAACUUUUACACUAUAGGUGCCAUUUAACUGCUUAUUAAAGCAACUUAUAAUUAUUUUAUUACUAGUUCUGGACACAUGCUUUGCAUGUGUAUAUUACACGUUUAGUCACGAUUGUAAGAGGGUGUACACCAGGAUCAUUCGAAGAGCAAAGUCGUGUGAGCCUUACAGAUAUUCUUGACGUACUCCUAUUAAAAUCUGUAUCAUAAUAUCUGAUGAAAUCAGCUACUGAUCAGUCAAGCUCUCCAUUGAUGUAGACUUCAACUACACAUGAGAAAGAAUGAGAGAAGAAGAGAGAAGAGAAGAGAAGAAGAAUCUAGAAGAGCAACAUGAAAAUUAAUCUCUCAUUGAAUGUGAAUUAAAACUACAAGAAUUACAAUGUGACUAUAUAUAUAUAAUCACUGGCAGAAAUUAACUAACUAACAAACUUGAUUCUAACUAACUCUACUGUACAUAGAUUCUAACUAACUCUACUGUACAUAACCGACUCUACUGUACAUAACUAACUAAUUAUACUUUAUAUUCUCAUCACCCCCCCUCAAGUUGGAGGUGAUGUAAUUACAGACAACUUGUGCAAUAAGGCAGUAUGUUUAACUCCAGUCAGAGCCUUGGUGAAGAUGUCUGCCAACUGUGAAUCAGUGGGAAUAUGAUGGAGUGUGAUUAGGCCUUGUUGAAGCUUGGUCCUAACAAAGUGACAAUCGAUUUCUAUGUGCUUUGUCCUCUCAUGAAAAACUGGAUUCUUUGCAAUGUGGACUGCUGCUUGACUGUCACAAUGGACAGGGAUAGGUAAGGAGCAUUGUACAGUCAACUCAUCCAACAAUCGUUCAAGCCACACUAGUUCUCCUACAACUUGUCUCACAGCUCUAUAUUCAGCUUCAGCAGAUGACAAAGACACUGUUGCUUGCUUCUUAGACUUCCAGCUGACAGGACUAUCACCCAGAAGCACUAGGUAUCCACUAACAGACUUCCUGGAAUCAGGGCAAGCAGCCCAAUCAGAAUCACAAUAAGCACUGAUAGUGAGAUCAGGCUUGUUUGAGAUAAAAAUUCCCAAUGUUGGAUCCUGUUUCAAAUAUCUGAGCACAUGGUAUGCUGCUUUUAAAUGUGGUUCCCUAGGUGAUUGCAUAAAUUGGCUCAAGUGUUGUAUACUAUAAGCUAUGUCCAUUCUAGUGUUGGUCAAAAAAUUUAGCUUACCAACCAACUUCCUGUAUUGAGUAGGAUCAGAUAAAAGAUUGCCAUCUGUAGCUGUUAACUUCUCAGUGCAAUCAAGUGGUGAUGUAGUGGCCUUGUGACUUAACACAUCAAAAUCUUUCAGGAGAUCAGAAGUGAAUUUCCUUUGUGAAACUAGCACUCCAUCAUGUCUGUAUAAUAUUUCCAGUCCCAGAAAGUAGUGUAGUUUGCCCAAAUCCUUUAUCUUGAACUGAUCAUUUAAGAAGCUCUUUAAGGAGUUGAUUUCAGCCACAUCUGUUCCAGUUAGAAUUAUGUCAUCCACAUAUACAGCAACAAACACCAAGGAGCAGCCCUUCCUUUUGUAGAACAGUGAGUAAUCACUGUCUGAGUGCUGAUACCCUCUUGAACAUAGACAGUUUGCCAACUUCUCAUACCAUUGCCUGCUGGCCUGUUUUAGUCCAUACAAAGACUUCUUCAAUUUGCACACCAUGUUAUCACAACCUACUACAAGACCUUGUGGAGGUGCCAUGUACACUUCCUCAUGCAAAUCACCAUGUAAGAAUGCAUUAUUGACAUCUAGCUGAUACAAGCUCCAAUCUUUCUUAACAGCUAAAGAGAUUAAUGUUCUAACAGUAGUCAUUUUAACUACAGGUGAGAAGGUUUCAGUGUAAUCUACCCCAACUUGUUGUGUAUAACCUUUGACCACCAACCUACACCCCAGCUUGUUGUGUAUAACCUUUGACCACCAGCCUAGCCUUGAACCUCUCCACACUCCCAUCAGCUUUGUGCUUGAUUUUGUACACCCACUUGCACCCAAUAGCUUUCUUCCCAUCAGGUAACAUGACCAUCUCCCAAGUGUCAUUAGCAUACAAAGCUUCAAACUCCUGUGUCAUGGCCUGCUGCCAGGCAGGGUGCAAUAUUGCUUCCUCAAAUGAAAUAGGCUCACAUUCAUGUGAAAUGGUUGUUACUAACUGCUGACUAUCAGAACAAAGACUGGUGAAACAUACAUGUUUAUGGGGAGAUAUAAAGGAAGUGAGGGAGUGCAGCUUAGGUAUAGUGUAGGUGUAUUCUUUUAGGUAAUUAGGAGUGUGUAUGGUUCUGGUUGUUCUUCUAGGUGCUGAUAUUGUAGGUACUGGUAAAGUAUCAUGAUGCAUGGUGGCAUUUGGAUCAGGUAAGGUAGGUUGAGUUGUAGUAGGUUGAGUUGUAGGUUCAUGUAGGACAGCAGGUGGUACUUCAUUCAUGUUGGUAUUACUGGUUACUUGAUUAUUAGUGACUUCAUGUGGUGUGAAAUUUUCCAGUUGAUCAUCAUUAGCAAAAAUGUUCAUUUUACCAGACAUACAAGGCAUGCUAGUGGUAUGAGUAAGCAUUUGCAGAAUGGAAUUGAAACUAGAACCAUCAGGGGCAAUAACAAAAGGAAAAAUAUUUUCUUGAAAAAUAACAUCUCUUGAUAUAUGAACUUUCUUGGUAGCUAAAUUCAAAACUUUGUAACCUUUUGUAUUGAAAGGGUAACCAACAAAAACAUGAGGUGUGGUUCUAGGUUCAAAUUUAUCUUUGUGAGUUUUCAAGGUAGUGGGGAAACAAAGACAACCAAAACUCUUAAGGUGGGAAUAUGUAGGUGAUUUAUGGUACAACAUUUCAUAUGGAGAUUUAUUCUGUAAAAGUUGAGUGGGCAGUCUAUUAAUCAGGUAUGUGGCAGUCAAUACACAUUCCCCCCAGUACCUCAUAGGCAACUUUGACUGAAACAAAAGUGCCCUUGCUGUUUCAAGUAGGUACUUAUGUUUCCUUUCUACCACCCCAUUUUGUUGAGGUGUAUAAGGACAAGUUCUUUGGUGUAUGAUACCUUGUUUUGGAAGAAAUUUGUGGCUUCAGCUGAAGUAAACUCUAACCCAUUGUCAGAUCUUAUGGCUUUUUAACUUGGUUUGGAAUUGGUUUUCUAUGAGAGAUAUGAAGGCUUUGAUAGUUUGGAGAGCAUUACUCUUACAUCUCAGCAAUUGUGUCCAAGUGGACCUACUGUGGUCAUCUACCAUAGUGAGGAAAUAAUGAUAUCCAUCAUGAGUGGGAACAUGAUAUGGUCCCCAUAGGUCAACAUGUAACAACUCAAACACUUUAGUGGUGGUGGUGAUACUUUCUGGAAAAGGCAUCCUAGUUUGCCUAGCCAUAGGGCAUAUAUUGCAAGUAAAAGGCUGUUUAGGAGAAAAAUGAACAGGUAUAGUUGAGAUAUUUUUCAUUUUUACAAAAGGUACAUGUCCUAAUCUAGCAUGCCACAAAAGUUCAUCAUCAUGAGUGUGAUUAGAGACAUUUGUAAAUGAAGGACAAGCAUGAGUAAAACAAGAGGAAGGAAAAACAGUACAAUCUGCCUUAUUCAUAGGAGAGUAUUUUACAGAAGAACCAGUGGACACAUUAGAAUCUGAAACCCUGCUAGUAUUGCCUAAAGAAGAGACAAGAGGACAAUUAACAUGAGGUGCUUUACUCUCAGCAGAUGGACAACAAUUGUGGCAUUUGUGACACAAGAAGUACAGGCCAUUCUUGGCUUUACCAAGUUCCAGAGGGCUCUUCAGAGAAGGGCCCUGCAGCAAACAAGAAGAUUUGUCAAAGCUGACUACACCAUUGAAUUGUAGUGCUAAACAAUGAACAGAAAUGAGAUUAAACUUGAAGCUAGGUACAAACAACACUUUGCUUAGAGUCAAAGCUGGAUUUAAACAAGCAUCACCAAUUUCAGUCACUUUAACCUUGUAACCAUUAGGGAGUGAAAUUAGAAAGGGAUAUGGAAGUGAAAUGAUGUUUGUGAGGGUGGUCUUAUCAUAGGUCAUAUGGUGUGAUGCUCCUGAAUCUAUGAUCCAAGAGCCAGCAGUCAGUUUAACACAUUUACAAGAAAGAUCACCUAUAUCAGUAAUAGAGGAAUAACAUGCAAGUAUACCUGCCAAGUUCACAGCUCCAUUCAGCAUGUUGUUUGAGUUGUCUGAGGCUCCAUUUCCAACUUGUAAAGUUCCCAGGAGAUUGAGUAGUUGUUCAUAUUGAUCUUUGGACAAGUUCAAUGGCAUUUGUCUCCUUACUUCAGGUUCCUCUUCAGAUUGAACUCCAUUCAUAUCAGGGGCACACACAUUUGCUGCAGCUUUUCCCUUUUUGAACCUUGGAUUUGGAUUGGAUGGGUAUCCAUGAAGCUUGUAACAUCUAUCCUUUGUGUGUCCUGAUUUCUUACAGUAGUCACAAAACAAAGAAGACUUGCCAGUGCUAGAAUUGCCUCUAAACCCAGUAUUACCAGAAUUGGUUCCACCUCCUCCAGAUGAACUGUAGUUUGUCCGGAAUCCCCUGUAUCCUGCACUGCUGUUGGUCUGUCCAUAAGCAUUGAGAGAGGUAGAAUCCAAGGCUGUAUGAUUAUGAGGCUUCACCUCCCUUUGUUUUUCCUCUUGGGAUAAUAUGGCAAAAGCUUGAGCCAUGCUUGGAAGUGUGUUCAUCAUGAGAAUGCUGCCUCUGACAGUCGUAUAUAUCUCAUUCAAUCCCAUUAGAAAAUGUAUCAAUCUUCUGUCUUGUUCAGCCUUGUGUAAUUUGCUUUUACCCCCACAAAUGCACACACAAGUACACUGAGAAUUGACAUCAAUGGUACUCAUUUCCUCCCACAACUUCUUCAUUCUUGUGUAAUAUCCAGUGAUGUCUAAAGUGCCUUGGACCAGAUCAUUAAUUUCCUUCUGCAGUUGAUACAAUUUACACCCAUUGGUUUGAUCGUACCUUUCUUCUAGUUCUCCCCAAAGCUCCUGAGCAUUAUUGACAUACUGCAGACUAUCACGCAAAUCUGGUGACAAGGAAUUCAGGAUCCAAGAUGUGACCAUAUCAUCACACCUUUCCCAUUGCUGAAAGCUAGGAUCAGUAGGAUCAGGUCUCACAACCUUCCCAUUAAUGAAUCCUGUCUUGCUCUUAACAGAUAAAGCCCUGAGAACUGCUCUUCUCCAGGAUCUGUAACCAGUUCCAUCAAAAACUGCAGGUAAUAGGGAUGAACUUGCAUUCUCAGAUGGAUGCAAGUAGAAAGGACUAGGGAUUUCUACCCUAACAGUGGAUGCAGAAGCAUUUGGAAUGGAAUCAUUUGAAGAAUCGACCAUUGUGAAUUGAAAAUUGGGAAGAAGAUCAAGUCGAGAACAACCAGAUCAAACAGCGUUCACAAACAAAAUUGACAGAUCGAAGAUCCAGUCGAGAUCAACCAGAUCAAAGAAAAAAUUCACAUAAGAGAAAACGAAGCUCACAGAUUGAAUUGGAAACAAAAAAAAACAGGAGCAAUUCCCUGUGCUUUGAUACCAUGAUGAAAUCAGCUACUGAUCAGUCAAGCUCCUCCAUUGAUGUAGCUUCAACUCACAUGAGAAAAGAUGAGAGAAGAAGAGAGAAGAGAAGAGAAGAAGAAUCUAGAAGAGCAACAUGAAAAUUAUCUCUCAUUGAAUGUGAAUUAAAGAAGUGAGUAUUACAAUGUAUCUGUAUAUAUACACAAUCACUAAGCAACUAAUAAUCAUUGGCAGAAAUUAACUAACUAACAAACUUGAUUCUAACUAACUCUACUGUACAUAACCGACUCUACUGUACAUAACUAACUAAUUAUACUUUAUAUUCUCAUCAAUAUCCCUUUUUUCAAAUUUCAUAGCUGAACUACUAGGUGUGCGAGUUCCUACCAGAACUAUUACCAACUAUUUAUCAAAACACACAUCAACUAUAUAUGAGUUGUUCCCUUUUACUAGUGGUGAAAAAUAGGUGGAUUUGGACGGGACUGAAAAUGGAUUGAGCAACAUGGUCGUAACUCACUUUAAUCUCUUAAAGCCAGAAAACUUUAAAGAGUUAAUUGAAAUAAACUUAAUGACUAUCCUACUUGAAGUAUCACCAUCGUUCAGGUAAGAAAAAGGAAGUAAAUCAAGGAAGACGAUGUCUUACAAAGCCUGAUGGAUAUGGACCUCGAUAGAACCUCCAUAGUUGUCUUGAAUGUCCUGUUGAAUCUGCUUUGCGGAAUUCCCAACAGAUUCUGGGCAGUUUCUUAUAUCAAUUAGAGCAAGUGUGGUUAUAUCUGCAAAAUCUUGAGGGAUUGAGUCCAAAAACCUGCAACUAUCAAGAAAUAGUCGUUCAAGGCACGGAAAGUGAUCACAACUAGCUCUCCAGUACUGAAUAUGUGAUCUUUUAAGUAACAAGAACUUCAAAAAAGGAAACCCUUCCUCAGCUACUUCCCACUCCCUGCCUCUGCAUACACCCUGUGUUAGUUCAAGAAGUUCAAGUUUGGGCAAUUUUCCGACAACAAUGCUUAAAUCCUUCCAUGACAAGAAGAAAUUUCCUGUAAAAGUUAAAUUCUUAAGGUUUCGUGGAAAAGCAUCUGGAGGAGGUAAGAUCAAAGAUGGAACAACUUCUACAACAAGUGGAUUCCUUGUCUGAAAACACAUUCUCCUCUCCAAAAAGUAAGCAUUAUUUUGAGGAGGAAGACAAAAUGCUAGUUCCUCGAGAUGAUCUAAGUAGCGAAAAUCAUAGAGGUCUUUGUGACUAUGGAAGUCUUGUGGGAUGCCACGUACUUGCAACUCCUUUAAAUUGGGAAAUAGUCUAAAGAAAGAUGCAGUACAAUAGCUAGGAUUCCAUCCAAACAGAGAAUGUAAAUUUUUCAUAACCAAACUUUUCUCUGUAAGCUCAUGAUAUCGCAAGUAAUUCCGAUCCAAAUGAAGGUGCCUCAACUGUGGCAUAGUCAAAAUUUCUGAUGGUAAUAUCAAAGCAUGUUUACGAAGAUUAAUAACGAGUGGAAGGUAAAGUACCAAACUUUGCAGAUAGCAUAGGUUUGAUAUGGAUGUAGGAAUGUCUACUCUUGAUGAGAGAACAUCUUCUUCGGAUCCUAGAUAUUGCUCAACGUUAGGAUAAAUACGCAAAGCUAGGUGUCUUAAGUGAAUCAAAUAAAGUAUUUCACGGGGAAAAGUUAGACAGAUAUUAUCAGCAAGAUCUAGAACUCUUACUAGCUUGAACGGCAAGUACUCCCUCAUGCAACAUCGGAAUCUACCAAAUAAGAUAACAGAAUGAGCUUCACUGUUAAGGCACCUAACAUACUCUUUCUUAUUAUGGAUGCUGAUUCGACCUCGACUCUUAGACAAACACUGCAUAGAUUUCACACAUGGAUUUUGAUCAUUCUUACUUCCGAGAACAUUCACAAAAUUCAUGUUACGAGCUUCCAUCAUACAGAGUUCACGAGUCGUAUCAUGAAUUCCACAACACUUAAUUUUUCCAUCAAAAGUAGUACUUUCUAUGGAAAUUAAACUUCUAUCAAUAAGAUCUUGUAGGUACUUUUCUGCCACUUCUUCUAUGCUUUUCAUCUCUUCUACCUUCAAAAAUCCCUCUGUUUCCCACAAUAUCAUAAGUUUAUUGACAAAAAUCAGUUUAUCCUCUGGGAAGAUUGCGAAAUAUAAAAAGCAUGGUUUUAGGUGGUGAGGCAAGUAAUGGUAACUCAUUGCCAACACCCUCAUGCAUUGGACACCAACAUCUGUGCUUACUGCUGAACUUACAUUUUCAGCAACACUUUGCCACUCACUCAAUGCUUUGUCAAUUUUAGUGAGAAGUCCCGCGAUCACAACAAUUGCUAGAGGCAAUCCUCCGCAUUUCAAUGCAAUUUGCUUUCCAAGUUGUUCAUAUUCAGGGGAGAAAGAGUCUUUCGUAAAGACUUUUUCAUACAAUAAACUCCAACUUUCGUCAAAAUUCAUGAGGCGCAUGUGAUAAGGAGGCUUACCUGAGCUAGCAUAUUCAGCCACUUCCACAUUCCGAGUAGUCAAGAGUAUUCGGCUUCCAUUAUGAAAGUCUGGGAAACAUAUUUGUAUAUCAUCCCAAGCUUUUGUAGUCCAUAUGUCAUCAAUGACUACCAAAUAUCUCUCACCUUUUAGAAGCUUUUGUAGUCGAUCUGCUAGUUGCCCGUCAUGUAGCUGAUCAUAAGGUUUAUCACUUAUACAAGAAAGAAGGUCUAGGAAAACAUUUCUCACACAAUACUCUUGUGAAACAGUAGCUUUAGCACGAAUGUCAAAACGAUACAUCAUGCAUGGAUCGUUGUAGAGUUUCGUAGCCAAAGUUGUCUUGCCAAUGCCUCCCAUACCUACAAUUGAUACAACUGCUAGUUCUCUUUCUCCUCUAGCAAGUUGAUCCAGCAUCAUCUUGAAUUCAUUUUCAUAGCCAACCAUUAUAUCCUCGGACCGCUCAACAGCACGUUCAGGUAUCUUGGAUAGACAAAAAUUUUGUGCUUUGAAAUCUUUAAAGUUGUUGUACCAGUCCCAUAUUGCCAACCACUGCAUCAUGAAGGAAUCAAUGCAUUCUACCUCUUGUUCCAAGGAACAACAGAGUUCCCAGAAAGCUUUGCUUCGUGUAAUUACAGUUUCUGCGGAAGAAACUUUUCUUGAUUUCGAAUCAACCAUGUCUUCUGCUUUGUAUGCUACCUCCGCGAUUUCAACUUCCAAGGUUGUUAACCCCUCAUGAUCUCCCGUUAUAUUGCAGGAUUUCUCCAUAAUAGCUCUCAAAGAUUCAAGCUUUUCAUAGAAUGGUUGCAAAUCACAUCCAGUAAGUUCCAUUGACUGGUGUAUGGUUCUCAUAAGGGAAGUAACAGCAGCAUAAGCCAUAUAUCCAAAAAAUAGGAAUCUCUCACACUCAGUAUGAAAAUGGACAAAUUAAUUGCCACAAGUUAUGUAAUCUUUCUUUUACUAACUAUUUCCAUCACAUUUCUAGCUAGGUCCACUAACAGGUAAAGUAGAAAGAUGUGAGGUCCCUAACCUUAUCAUCAUGUAGACAAAAGAAGAGACCAAAGUUUUUAAAAAAAAGACAGGAAAAAGUAGAAAAAUUUGUGAUCAUUCAUUAUUAGACCCUACACUAAUCUCUUUAGAAAAAUAAACUAAAAUUUUAGUUUAAAUAAAGGAGUUCAAGCUGUAUAUUGAUAACGCCCAAUUCAAAUUCAAGUGUAGUACGGUCUAGCAAUAAUAAACUCAACAAAUGUUGGGGUCGAGGAGUAUGCUUGUGUCAAGGUGACAGAGAAUGCGAAUUUGCGAAUUUCCUAAGCUUAUCUACAAAUAAAAGGUCUUUCUUUUAGCUAGGUCCAUAAUCCAUGUAGUGCUCUCUACUCUCUAGUCUCUAUCAACCAACUCAAGUUUAAGGGUGUGUUUGGUAUGGAGGAAACAUUUUCUCUAGAAUAGGGAGAGUUUUGUGCAUAAACAAAGAAGAAUAUCUCAGUAUAACAGUGAAUGUGUAUUUUUUUUAUGAUUUGCUUCAUUUGAGUAUGACUUUUGUAAGAAAAUUCUGGUAAAAGUUUAAAAAAUGAUCUUGUGGAAUAAGCACAGUGAAUUCCUUAAUAUUCGAGUAGAAAAAGCCAGGGAGGAUAACAUUGCUAUUUGUACACUUAUCGUGACACGAGUAGUCUCUUAAAUAUUACACCUUUCUACUGGUGUUGCUGGUGCCACUGAAUUUAGCCUUCCGUCUUCCUUUGCGAGGUAGAUUGAGGACUCCCAAGAAAGGAAACACAAGGUACUGGAGUCUGUUCCGGCCUCUACAGUAUGUAUGUACAUAAAAUUUGGAGUAACUAAAAAACCACUGACAAAUGGCUAUACGAAAGAUCAUAUACAAUUUAAUUACAAGCCAUUUGCAAUCAUCCUGCCCCUUUAUGCAGAAUCUUUUCAAAGAAAAUGAAAACAAACACUCACACAUUUGGCUUCUGAUUGACAUUUAUUUCAGAGAACUGGCUAGUCCUCAGAACACCUUAACUACUCGCUGCAGAAAAAAAAAGACGCAAAAAAUGGAAAAUAAUAUGUUAGAUGUCCCAUAAUUAAGGAACAGGAGAACAUUAUAGCAAGAAUGAGCAUGCAGGUAUAAGAACUUACACAUUAUUGCGGCAAGAAGCAACUUCUUUCUCAAAGUCAAUAUCAUCAUCUUCAUCUAUUGUUACACUACAUCGAAAAUGCUUGCUACAAAAGAUGAAAAAUGAAAUGUUACACUUCCCAAAAUCAAGAAUGAGCAUGCAAGUAUAACAACUUACACAAUAUUGGAAGGAUUCGAAUCAAUCACAAUGACAGCAUCAAGAACUUUUGUUGAAUUGGUGUAAUUUGACUUACUAAAGCUAUUAUCCAGAUUAUUAUCGAGUUUACUAUAAUGAUGAGUUAAAUAUUGUUGUAAAUCAAGGAAGAAGAUGUACUUACUAAAGAUUACGAGUAUGGACCUCGAUAGAGCUUCCAUAGUUGUCUUGAAUGUCCUGUUGAAUUUGCUUGGCGGAAUUCCCAACAGAUUGUUGACAGUAACUUAUAUCAAUAAGAGCUAGUGUGGUUAUAUCUGCAAAAUCUCGAGGGAUUGAAUCCAAAUAAUAGCAACUUCUAAGAAAAAGUCGUUCAAGGUACGGAAAGUGAUCACUACUAGCUCUCCAGUACCGAAUGCAUACUUCAUGCAGAAACAAGAACUUCAAGUGAGGAAACCCUUCCUCAACUACUUCCCACUCCUCGCCUAUGAAGGAUUUCCAUGAUAGUUUAAGGACCUCGAGUUUGGGUAAUUUACCAACAAUGCUCAAAUCCUUCCAUGCCAAAAAGAAUUCUCCGCUAAAAGUUAAACUCUUAAGGUUUUGUGGAAAAGCAUCCGGAGGAGGUAAGCGUAAAGUUGAAACAUCAGUUGGAGGUGCAGUUGCCCUGAAAGGUAAGAGUAAACUUGUAUAAAGUUGAACAACUAGCCACAUGAGUCCUACAUGACACAAUACACAUAAGACACCAACUAUUUCCAUCACAUUUCCAGCUAGGUCCACUAACAGGAUAAAGUAGAAAGAUGUGAGGUCACUAACCUUAUCAUCAUGUAGACAAAAGAAGAGACCAAAGUUAAAAAAAAAAAAGACAGGAAAAAGUAGAAAAAUUUGUGAUCAUACAUUAUUAGACCCUACACUAAUCUCUUUAGAAAAAUAAGUUUCAAUAAAGGAGUUCAAGCUGUAUAUUGAUAACGUCCAAUUCAAAUUCAAGUGUAGUACGGUCUAGCAAUAAUAAACUCAACAAAAGUUGGGGUCGAGGAGUACACUUGUGUCAAGGUGACAGAGAGUGUUCUGGCCUAUACAGUAUGUAUGUAUGUACAUAAAAUUUGGAGUAUCUAAAGAACCACUGACAAAUGGCUAUACGAAAGAUCAUAUACAAUUAAAUUACAAGCCAUUUGCAAUCAUCCUGCCACCUUAUGCAGAAAAAAUGAAAAUUCUGAUUUGACAUUUAUUUCAGAGAACUGGCUAGUCCUCAGAACACCUUAACUACUCGCUGCAGAGAAAAAAAAAAGACACAAAAAAUGGAAAAUAAUAUGUUAGAUGUCCCAUAAUUAAGGAACAAGAGAACAUUAUAGCAAGAAUGAGCAUGCAGGUAUAAGAACUUACACAUUAUUGCGGCAAGAAGCAACUUCUUUCUCAAAGUCAUCUUCAUCUGUUGUUAUAUCGAAAAUGCUUUCUACAAAAGAUGAAAAAUGAAAUGUUACACUUCCCAAAAUCAAGAAUGAACAUGCAAGUAUAACAAGUUACACAAUAUUGGAAGGAUUCAAAUCAAACACAAUGACAGCAUCAAGAACUUUUGUUGAAUUGGUGCAAUUGGACUUACUAAAGCUAUUAUCCAGAUUAUUAUCGAGUUUACUAUGAUGAUGAGUUAAAUAUUGUUGUAAAUCAAGGAAGAAGAUGUCUUACAAAAGAUGACGAGUAUGGACCUCGAUAGAGCUUCCAUAGUUGUCUUGAAUGUCCUGUUGAAUUUGCUUGGCGGAUUUCCCAACAGAUUGUCGACAGCUACUUAUAUCAAUAAGAGCUAGUGUGGUUAUAUCUGCAAAAUCUGGAGGGAUUGAAUCCAAAUCAUAGCAAUUUCUAAGAAAAAGUCGUUCAAGGUACGGAAAGUGAUCACUACUAGCUCUCCAGUACCGAAUGUAUAUGUUAUCCAGAAACAAGAACUUCAAGUGAGGAAACCCUUCCUCAACUACUUCCCACUCCUCGCCUAUGACGGCAUUGUCUGAUAGUUUAAGGACCUCGAGUUCGGGUAAUUUACCAACAAUGCUCAAAUCCUUCGAUGCCAAAAAGAAUUCUCCGCUAAAAGUUAAACUCUUAAGGUUUUGUGGAAAAGCAUCCGGAGGAGGUAAGAGUAAAGUUGGAACAUCAGCUGGAGGUGCAGCUUUCCCGAAUUGUGUCUUUUUGUACAAUAAUUUCGUCUGAAACCUCAGAGGAUCUUGCGGAGUAGAACCUGAAGGUGCAGUGCUUUCUAGAACGCAAGCAGCACCUGGAUAAUAAACACGAAAUGCCAAUUUCUCGAGCUGAUAUAAGUAGCGAAAAUCAUACAGGUCCUUGUGAUUGCGAAAGUCCUCUUGGACGCCAAAUACUUUCAACUUCUUUAAAUUGGGAAAUAGUCUAAAAAAAGACCCUGUACAAUUCCGAGGAUUCAAUUGAUUGAGACAUUGCAAACUUUUCAAAACCAAUCUGUUCUCUGUAGGCUCAUGACUCCGCAAGUAAUUCCAGCCCAUACGCAGCUUCCUCAAUUGUGGCAUCGUCAAAAUUUCCGAUGGUAAUAUGAAAGGAUAACUAUCGGUAAAUGGAAGGUAAAGUUUAAAAGUUUGCAGAUAGCAUAGGCAUGAUAUCGAUAGAGGAAUGUCUAUUAUUGAUGAGGGAACAGCUUCUAUCGAUCCUCGAUACUGCAGUAAGCAAGGAUUAAAACACAAAGAUAGGUAUCUCAAAUGAAUUAGAGAAAGUACUCCACUGGGAAAAAUUGGGCAUGGAGUCCAACCAAGAUCUAGUACUCUUACUAGCUUGAAAGACAAUUCCAGUGUGAUGCAAUUGAAUCCACGCAACAUGAUAAUAGAAUGAGCCUCACUGUUACGACACCAAGCCAAUUCUUCCUCCUUAUAGAUACUGAUCCGACUUCGCUUCUUAAAGGAACACUGCAUGGAUUGUGCACAUGAAUUUUGAUCACUCUUUCCUCUGAUAACAUUCACAAAAUUCAUGUUUCGAGCUUCCCUCAAACAGAGUUCACGGGUCACAUCAUGCAUUCCACAGCUCUGUAUUUCCCCAUCAAAACUCAAUUUGUGGAUAGAAAUUAGACUUCUAUCUACAAGUUCGUUUAUACAUGUUUCUGCCACCUCUUCUAUGCUUUUUCCCUCUUCUUCAUUCAAAAACCCCUCUACGGCCAAUAACUCAACAAGUUUAUUUACAAAAAUCCGUUCAUCCUCUGCGAAAAUUGCAAAAUACAGAAAACACGGUUUUAGGUGAGAAGGCAAGUGAUGGUAACUCAAAGCCAACACUCUCAUGCAUUGUGCUUCAGGAUCUGUGCUUACCACCGAACUUACAUUCUCCGCAAUUCUUUGCCACUCAUCUAAUCUUUGACCGAUUUUGGAGAGAAGUCCAGCAGUCACAGUAAUUGCUAGAGGUAAUCCUCCACAUUUUAAUGCAAUUUGUUUCCCAAUAUUUUCAAAUUCAGGAGAAUAAGAACCUUCUUUUUCAAAGAUCUUUUUGUGUAGUAAAUUCCAACUUUCGUCAAAAUUCAUGAGGCGCAUGUGAUGAGGAGGCUUACCUGAACUAGCAUAUUCAGCCACUUCCACAUUCCGAGUAGUCAGGAGUAUUUUGCUUCCAUUAAUACA